CCACUGAUUUUUUGAAGGGCCGCAGUAAUUUGACUGUGCAAAGGUAGCAUAAUCAUUAGUUUUUUAAUUAAAAGCUUGUAUGAAGGGUUGGACGAGGUAAAUUCUGUCUCUAAUUAAAUUAAUUUAGAAUUUAAUUUUUAAGUUAAAAAGCUUAAAUAAGUUUAAAAGACGAGAAGACCCUAUAGAUCUUUAUAUUAAAUUUAUUAAUUUUAAUUAAGAUUUUUUUAUUUUUUAAUAUGUUAAAUAUUUUAUUGGGGUAAUAAAAAGAUUUAAUUAAUUCUUUUUUUUUAUUUUUACAUUAAUAUAUGAAUAUAUGAUCCAAUUUUAUUGAUUAAAAGAUUAAGUUACCUUAGGGAUAACAGCGUAAUUUUUUUAGAGAGUUCAUAUCGAUAAAAAAGUUUGCGACCUCGAUGUUGGAUUAAAAAUUAUUUUAGGUGUAGAAGCUUAAAAUUAUUGGUCUGUUCGACCAUUAAAUUUUU
rnacentral:rRNA from 1 species